GGGGGAUUAGCUCAGUUGGUAGAGCGCUUGCAUGGCAUGCAAGAGGUCAUCGGUUCGAAUCCGUUAUCCUCCA
rnacentral:tRNA from 4 species